UACGGGGGGGGCAAGCGUUGUUCGGAAUUACUGGGCGUAAAGGGCUCGUAGGCGGCCAACUAAGUCAGACGUGAAAUCCCUCGGCUUAACCGGGGAACUGCGUCUGAUACUGGAUGGCUUGAGAUUGGGAGAGGGAUGCGGAAUUCCAGGUGUAGCGGUGAAAUGCGUAGAUAUCUGGAGGAACACCGGUGGCGAAGGCGGCAUCCUGGACCUACACUGACGCUGAGGAGCGAAAGCCAGGGGAGCAAACGGGAUUCGCAACCCCGGUAGUCCGGGACUGGGUAGGGUGCCAGCCGCCGCGGUAAU
rnacentral:rRNA from 1 species